rnacentral:rRNA from 1 species
AUUGAACGCUGGCGGCAGGCCUAACACAUGCAAGUCGAACGGUAACAGGAAGAAGCUUGCUUCUUUGCUGACGAGUGGCGGACGGGUGAGUAAUGUCUGGGAAACUGCCUGAUGGAGGGGGAUAACUACUGGAAACGGUAGCUAAUACCGCAUAACGUCGCAAGAUCAAAGAGGGGGACCUUCGGGCCUCUUGCCAUCGGAUUUGCCCAGAUGGGAUGUGCUAGUAGGUGGGGUAACGGCUCACCUAGGCGACGAUCCCUAGCUGGUCUGAGAGGAUGACCAGCCACACUGGAACUGAGACACGGUCCAGACUACUACGGGAGGCAGCAGUGGGGAAUAUUGCACAAUGGGCGCAAGCCUGAUGCAGCCAUGCCGCGUGUAUGGAGAAGGCCUUCGGGUUGUAAAGUACUUUCAGCGGGGAGGAAGGGAGUAAAGUUAAUACCUUUGCUCAUUGACGUUACCCGCAGAAGAAGCACCGGCUAACUCCGUG